CUUAUCAUGAAAGGUUUACGGGAGAGGUACUAGCUGUAAGACCUUAGCCUGCAUUCUGAAGAAUUUGUUCACCACUAAACAAAUGGUGGAAGAAUUUAUAUCCUCGCAGAUAUCUUGGAGAUGAUCUGCUCCAGGAGUGCUCAACCUCUCUAUUUCUCCUGGCACAACUGAAGGCUAACAUUUUUGUGCCACUCACUCCUCUGGCUCCAAGGGCUCCUGGUAGAAGGUGUAGACUGGAGUUUCAACCCUGCUGUAGCUGGUUCCAGGACUGGAAUGCCAUGUUCUGACCCGAGUUAUGCCAGAUGGACCUGAGAGUUGCUGUCCUGGUCCCAACCUCCAACCUUACAAAAAGAAAACUGAGGCACAAAGAGGUUAGCUGACUUGCCUGUGUCAUCCAUCUACUUAGAGAUCAUCAAGGCUGGAUCUAGAGCUCAAGUCUUCCGGGCUCUUUGAUAAGGCAGUAAGAACUAUAACUGGUGUCUUGAGAAACCCCCCCACCUCAAUGCUUAUGUGACAGUAAUGUGGUCAAUUACACAUUCUGGAUUAAAAUCUCUCCAUUUUUGA